GGGCUAUAGCUCAGCUGGGAGAGCGCUUGCAUGGCAUGCAAGAGGUCAGCGGUUCGAUCCCGCUUAGCUC
rnacentral:tRNA from 10 species